GCUCCCGUGGUGGAAUUGGUAUACACGCAUGUCUUAGGAACAUGUCCCGCAAGGGGUAGAGGUUCGAGUCCUCUCGGGAGCACAA
rnacentral:tRNA from 3 species